GACAUUUACUUAAUUAGUAAAUGUCUACGAUCAGCAGAUGUAGGCCAUACUGCUGCUGGGCUGGACUUAAAUGGAACUGAUCUGGUCGCAUCUGCCGUAUGUCGGAUGAGCUUUGGGCGAAAACGACCACUCUGUGGAUCCCAAAUUAGCAGGAGGACGUGACGAAUUGUACUCCCACCGAAUGGCCUCAGGUGGCACUAUAAUAUAGAGACAAGUUGAAACAGAAGGGGAGUCUUCGUCUUGCAGUAGUUGUAGGGUGGUGGGUCACUGUCGGUCGACAGUCCGCUUGAGCCACUGCGUGAAGUGUCGCAGCUGCCACACCGCCCGCGCCGACUCCUCGCGCAAACGUGCGUUGUGUCGCCUCAGCCGACGCACCUAUCGAAUAAUCCGAGAUAAUAAGUUAAGCUGCCUACUACCUAUUAAUCUUAAUACUGUCGAAAUUGUUAUGAAAUAGAUUUGUAGUACCUAAAUAAAUUAAAAUGGUUACAUUAAAUGUCCCAGUGUGAACUAAACAUUUUUGAAUCGAGAGGUCUUACAACACAAACAACCCAAACAUAAAAAUGCCCUCGUGAUUAGUUAUUCAGCUGCGUCUUAGUCAAACCAACAACUGAAUGACUCUGUAUUGCAUACAUAUAGUAAAUUAGCUUGUGUGAUGACCUUUACUUCGAAUUCAUUCAUCCAUAAGCUUAUUUAAAAACGAUAAAAUCAAUGUAACAUAGACACGUGCUGUACAAUCACAUGACGCUUAGCCCAUAGAUUACGAUGCGGUAAUCCUGUUGUCUGGUGAUAAUUACAUCGGUACAUUGGUGCAUGCGUAUUAAAAAUAAUUUCUGGGAAGGUAGGUACAAAUAUCGUCUUUCUAUUUUUAUAAUAUUGAUAUGUUUACAAUAUAAAUAACAUUUUUUUUUCAGAGAUAGAUAGAUAGACAGAAAUAUGCUGCAUAAUUUUUAGAAUGCUGUUGGCGCUUUUCCCCUACUCUACGCAUCCGAAAAAUUAUUAGUCAGAAACAAAAGUCGCCAAACCAUCCAAAAUUCGAUAUUAAACAUCGAUUGAAGUAUCGACAAAUUGCAUGACAACACUAGUGCAAAAAUUGAACAAACAUCACUGAGUAAGGAAAGAUCAAGUAGCCUCGUCCCCAACAGACCCGUAUUUUGAUGCGCUACUUAGGAGAUUUUCCGUUAUGGCAUCUUUGUUAGUCAUUUUGUUCUCCAUGCUAAACAUAGUGAAAUUGACAUAAAAAGAUUGCAAUAUAAUUAAAUAUAGUUAUCUCAGUAUACCUCUUCCUCCAGCUGAUGCCUGUGUCGCUGCGAGGCGGCGGCGUCGGUCUCGAGCGCGGCGACGCGCGACGCGAGGCCGCACGCGCAGUUGGCCGCGCUCGCCGUAUUCGCUGUACUGUUGGCCACGUUAGCCCCAGUAGGCGACGUUGUAGAAACGCUUGUUGUUAAUGUAGCGGGGACUGUUUCAGAUACCUGACAAGUAUAAAAAGUUGGUGAUGAUUGAUUUUCAGACUCACAGUAAGCGAAGAUGUGUUGGCCGAGGCACGCUUGUGCCUCGCAUGUCGCGGAGACGCGGCGUCGUCGUGCGAGCGGCGGCGUAAUGCUGCCUCAGGCGCAGGAGACGUCUGCGGCGACCGACGACCCGAUCGACAUGAACCACCUAGCAUAAAUAAAUCAUAUUUUAACCUC